rnacentral:rRNA from 1 species
GAUGAACGCUAGCGGGAGGCUUAACACAUGCAAGUCGAGGGGUAAAAUGGUAGCAAUACUAUGAGACCGGCGAACGGGUGCGUAACGCGUAUGCAACUUACCUUAUGCAGGGGGAUAGCCCGUGGAAACGCGGAUUAAUAUCCCAUAGAUCAGUAAUAUCGCAUGGUAUAACUGGUAAAACUCAGGUGGCAUAAGAUGGGCAUGCGUCUGAUUAGCUAGUUGGUAGGGUAACGGCCUACCAAGGCGACGAUCAGUAGGGGUUCUGAGAGGAUUAACCCCCACACUGGUACUGAGACACGGACCAGACUCCUACGGGAGGCAGCAGUGAGGAAUAUUGGUCAAUGGGCGCAAGCCUGAACCAGCCAUCCCGCGUGAAGGAAGAAGGCCCUACGGGUUGUAAACUUCUUUUCUGUUUGAAGAAUAAGCUCGUCGAGACGAGUGAUGCCGGUAGGACAGGAAUAAGCAUCGGCUAACUCCGUG